rnacentral:rRNA from 1 species
AACGAACGCUGGCGGCAUGCCUAACACAUGCAAGUCGAACGAGACCUUCGGGUCUAGUGGCGCACGGGUGCGUAACGCGUGGGAACCUGCCCUUAGGUUCGGAAUAACUCCCCGAAAGGGGUGCUAAUACCGGAUAAUGUCUUCGGACCAAAGAUUUAUCGCCUUUGGAUGGGCCCGCGUUGGAUUAGCUAGUUGGUAGGGUAAAAGCCUACCAAGGCGACGAUCCAUAGCUGGUCUGAGAGGAUGAUCAGCCACACUGGGACUGAGACACGGCCCAGACUCCUACGGGAGGCAGCAGUGGGGAAUAUUGGACAAUGGGCGAAAGGCUGAUCCAGCAAUGCCGCGUGAGUGAUGAAGUCCUUAGGGUUGUAAAGCUCUUUUACCCGGGAUGAUAAUGACAGUACCGGGAGAAUAAGCACCGGCUAACUCCGUG